CUUGAUGGAACCGACCAGAAGCGGCCGCUCCGCGUCACGCCCCUGGCCGUAGGUGGCCAGCAGCGCGUUCGCCUC
rnacentral:antisense_RNA from 1 species